CGGCAACGGAUAUCUCGGCUCUCGCAUCGAUGAAGAACGUAGCGAAAUGCGAUACUUGGUGUGAAUUGCAGAAUCCCGUGAACCAUCGAGUCUUUGAACGCAAGUUGCGCCCGAAGCCAUUCGGUCGAGGGCACGCCUGCCUGGGCGUCACGC
rnacentral:rRNA from 1 species